AGGAGGAGGAAGAGGAGGAGGAGGAGAAGGAGGAGGCAGAGGAGGAGUAAGGGGAGGGGGAGGAGAGGAGGAGGAUUGAAGAGAGAUGUUGGAACAAUCCAUCCAGGUGGCCCAGCCAGGAUCUGGCUUCCCAGAGUGCAUGUGGGUUUAACAUUCUCAGGACAAUAUCUGCCACCCUCACUGGCAGAGAGAGAGCAGAGACGCUUCAUGCACUGUUUGAAGACAGGUCUAGGCCUGGAUGGGGAGAAGCAUGUGUUUCCCAGUGGCAUGUUGGACGGAAGAGGAAGACAGUCCAGCAGAGACAAGAAAGAGGAAGUUGAGUUUCUGUCAUCCCACCACAUUGCAAUGGGCCAGAGAGAGCAAGGAUGCGGGUCCAGGCUCCCCGAGGGUGACAUUAAAGGGAGAACACCCACCAUUGUGAGGAACAGGAGGGUGAGCAUCUGCGGUGGCAAUCAGAAGACACAGCGCCUCAACCUACACUGAGAACUUGGAGGAGUCUGACCCCCGCAGAUGCAGAAGAAAUCUGAACCCACGUGUGGUGCAGCGGGAGACCAGGAAUCGCCCAGACUGAGGACUUACUCUCCUUAGUACCUGGAGCUGAGCCCUUUCCACCCACUGGGAGUCUCGUGCUUAUUCUGGACACACGAUCCUGGGCUGACUCAUGUAACUCACAAACACUUCCCCCACAUUCUUCCACUCCAGCUCCU